CCCCUAGAUGUUCUGGGCCGCACGCGCGCUACACUGAACAGUUCAACAAGUCUUAACCUUGGCCGAUAGGCCUGGGUAAUCUUUGAACGUGAAUCGUGAUGGGGAUAGAUGAUUGCAAUUAUUCAUCUUCAACGAGGAAUUCCUAGUAAACGCAAGUCAUCAGCUUGCAUUGAUUACGUCCCUGCCCUUUGUACACACCGCCCGUCGCACCUACCGAUUGAAUGGUCCGGUGAAAUCUUCGGAUCUGAGAGAUGUCUGAUUAAUUUCGGACGCCUUUUGGAAAAGUUGCUUAAACCUUACCAUUUAGAGGAAGGUGAAGUCGUAACA
rnacentral:rRNA from 1 species